rnacentral:lncRNA from 1 species
CGGCUUUUUCUUUUCUUCUUUUCAUCUUUGUAUCAAAAAACAUAUAUCAUCAGCAAGAAAUAAAAAUCAAGCUUUAAGGUGAUUUUUUAGAUCCGAUUUCAAUCUCUUUUUUUUUUCCUUUUUUUGUUGUUUUUAUUUUUUAUUUCUUAUUUCUUAAACGAAAAUAAAAGAGAAAAGGAAAAAGGGAACUCACCGGAGAGAAGGCUUCGGGCGCCUCUAUGACACCUCGUCGGCCGUCGGGGUGGUGGCGGUGCGGCGAGUGGCGCGGCGGAAGCCAAGUGACCCGAUGGUCGGAUUUCUUCGAGAGAAAAAGGGUCCCCUUUUUUUUGUUUUUUUUAGGAAGAGCGGCUGAAGUGAAUUUUUGGAAGAAAAAUGGGUUUAAAUAACCCCAUAAAACGGCGCCGUUUGGGCUUAAGGUUUAGAGACUAAAAACGGCGUCGUUUUGGUCUCUGACCCGCGUGGUGACCCGACCCAGGGGGAGGAUCCGCGUGUUUUCUUCAAAUGGAAUAUUUGCGCAAUUAGUCCUUUUGAUUUUAUAGCGCUUUCAUGGAAGUUUUCUGCAUAUUUGCGAUUUGGCCACAAAAUUUUAUUUUUGGUUCAUUUUAGUCCCCAUCGAAGCACAGCGUUUUGAGGCUUUGGAGUAUUUACCAUUUUGGUCCCC